rnacentral:rRNA from 1 species
AACGAACGCUGGCGGCAGGCUUAACACAUGCAAGUCGAGCGCCCCGCAAGGGGAGUGGCAGACGGGUGAGUAACGCGUGGGAAUCUACCCAUCUCUACGGAAUAACGCAUGGAAACGUGUGCUAAUACCGUAUACGUCCUUAGGGAGAAAGAUUUAUCGGAGAGGGAUGAGCCCGCGUUGGAUUAGCUAGUUGGUGGGGUAAAGGCCUACCAAGGCGACGAUCCAUAGCUGGUCUGAGAGGAUGAUCAGCCACACUGGGACUGAGACACGGCCCAGACUCCUACGGGAGGCAGCAGUGGGGAAUAUUGGACAAUGGGCGCAAGCCUGAUCCAGCCAUGCCGCGUGAGUGAUGAAGGCCCUAGGGUUGUAAAGCUCUUUCACCGUUGAAGAUAAUGACGGUAACCGGAGAAGAAGCCCCGGCUAACUUCGUGCCAGCCGCCGCCGUAAGAC